UAGGGAAUCUUCGGCAAUGGGGGCAACCCUGACCGAGCAACGCCGCGUGAGUGAAGAAGGUUUUCGGAUCGUAAAGCUCUGUUGUAAGAGAAGAACGUGUGUGAGAGUGGAAAGUUCACACAGUGACGGUAACUUACCAGAAAGGGACGGCUAACUACGUGCCAGCAGCCGCGGUAAUACGUAGGUCCCGAGCGUUGUCCGGAUUUAUUGGGCGUAAAGCGAGCGCAGGCGGUUUAAUAAGUCUGAAGUUAAAGGCAGUGGCUUAACCAUUGUUCGCUUUGGAAACUGUUAAACUUGAGUGCAGAAGGGGAGAGUGGAAUUCCAUGUGUAGCGGAGAAAUGCGUAGAUAUAUGGAGGAACACCGGUGGCGAAAGCGGCUCUCUGGUCUGUAACUGACGCUGAGGCUCGAAAGCGUGGGGAGCAAACAGG
rnacentral:rRNA from 1 species